rnacentral:lncRNA from 1 species
CGUGCAUAUUACGCGUCCAGCCUAAAAAUCUUAACUUAAUAACUGAAUACCUAUGUUUUUUAUACAGGAAAUCAAAAGUUAUAAAGUUAGGCUUCUAUGCAUGUAAUAUUUACUGAUGAAAGUAACCUAAUUAACAAAAUAUAAAUUAAAAACAUAAUUAAUUCUCAUUUCCUUCGGUGUCCAUAUGCUAUCGUCCUAGAUAUACUUGUAUUUUAUUCAAAAGUAUCAUUAUUAAUUUUGAAUAAGUAACCGUACUAAAAAACUACAUUAAAAAGUACAACUUUUUCAUCGACAUAAACAAAGCUAGCUCCGCAAUUUUAUAUUUUUUUUAUUUCAUAAAUGUUUCUCAUUUUUUUUUUGUCAUUACCAUCGGGUUGGACGGAUCUACGAAUUAUACUCUGCGUAUUGCCCUUAACGCUGAUACACCGACAACACACCCCGCGUACAUCCCUCAGUCGGCCAGUAAACGUCUUAGCAGGUGCACGCACGCUUGUGAUAAUAAAAUAUGUUCGUGUAAAGUUGCGCAGGAGGUGAUUAUUCUGGAAUUGUUCUCUCUCCUAUCGUUGCCAUAAUUAAAGGAUCAAGAAUUAAGAAUGCCGAGAAAAACUAAACACAACCGAGAGCACGAUAGACUUCAAAAGAAAAAAGAAUAUGCAGCAAUUAAGGCAGGUCCCGAAAAGUAUAAAGAAGAUCAGUGUUCGAAAGGACCGCAGUCACCGAAAGUCAAAAAAUUAUCUGAUAUUAAGAUGACUGAUUGGGAAAAUAGCAAAUUUUAUCUUGAUAAAAAGGAACCCGUUGACAAAACUUUUAAGACCGAUUUUGGGAAAUUUGUCAUGUCCAAUAGGGAACCAGAGCAUGAUACCAAAGAAAAGGUAGAAGGAGUAUACGCAAAGAGAGAAAUUCAAAAUUUUUGUGAUGAUGAUUCCGAUGAAAAUAUUUUCUAAUACUUUGAGUUAUUUUAAUUCAUUUGUUUUUGAUAUCAUAUUUUGUUUUUUUUUUUAAGUAUUUUUACAUUGCGAGAAGUCUAAUUUUAGUUUUGUAGUCUGAUUCUUAGCUUAUCUUGCCCUAUUCCCAAUUUUAUUUGGGGUCGGCGCAAUAUGACUUCUGCUUUUUUGUGUCAUCUUUCAGACAAUUCAUCCAUCUUUUCUUAGGUCCUCCUCUUCUUCUCCAUCCAUCUACAUUUAUACCUAGCACUACUUUGUUGCAUGCGUAUCAUUCCUCCUCAUUACAU